rnacentral:rRNA from 1 species
AUUGAACGCUGGCGGCAGGCCUAACACAUGCAAGUCGAGCGAGUGGCGGACGGGUGAGUAAUGUAUGGGGAUCUGCCCGAUAGAGGGGGAUAACUACUGGAAACGGUGGCUAAUACCGCAUACCAUCGGAUGUACCCAUAUGGGAUUAGCUAGUAGGUGGGGUAAAGGCUCACCUAGGCGACGAUCCCUAGCUGGUCUGAGAGGAUGACCAGCCACACUGGGACUGAGACACGGCCCAGACUCCUACGGGAGGCAGCAGGGGGGAAUAUUGCACAAGGGGCGCAAGCUGGAUGCAGCCAUGCCGCGUGUAGGAAGAAGGCCUUAGGGUUGUAAAGUACGUUCAGCGGGGAGGCGUUACCCGCAGAAGAAGCACCGGCUAACUCCGUGCCAGCAGCCGCGGUAAUAC